rnacentral:rRNA from 1 species
CGGGAAAAGCUCAAAUUUAAAAUCUGGCAGUCUUUGGCUGUCCGAGUUGUAAUUUGAAGAAGCGAUUAUCACGUUUUCGUUCGGGUUCAAGUUCCUUGGAAUAGGACAUCAGAGAGGGUGAGAAUCCCGU